AUUUAUAUAGUAUAACUAUUAUUAUUAACUUCCAAUUAAUAGAUCUAAAUUUAGUAUAAAUA
rnacentral:tRNA from 1 species